UAGAUGUAAGCAAAUACAAACUAAGAUGAAAGACUUGUGACUGGAAGUUUCAUCAAGCAGGCUUGAAGGAGGAGAUCAUUUACUUUGACUGAUGCAUCUGUUUCAGGUCACUUUGUUUCGACUCACGCUUUUCAGCUUCUUUGACUCGAGUGAUAAGGUGGUCAGCUUCUUCCACCUGAUGGCUGAUUAUUCUGUAGAACUGCUACUGUCUGCAUUCUAUUUUCAGCUGAGCGUGGAAAGAAAUCCACAUCGGAAAGGAUUAGAUCACUUUGCUUGACUAAUUUAUUGCACCUUCCAUGGAAUUCUAAUGUGGAGGCAUGGGUCUGAAGAAACAGAGUUGGUGAUCAGUGAAGAGUUAGGUGACCAAGGAGGCUUGUUCAUGCACGGCUCUGUCCCUUCGGGACCAUGGAAACCCGCUACCCCGAGCCGCCAAUGAUGAGAACAGCAGUGUUGAGACGGCAUGAAGCAAGCUUCAUCAAGAGGGAGACUCCAAGAGCUCAUUUCUCGUCUGGCGAAUGUGGCAUGCGGAUUAACUCAAGAAGGAACCAAAGUCAACUCAGCUUUCUUCUCCCUCCUUAUAAGAGGCUUGGCAGAACCUUCAAACUCUUCCAACCGAGAAAAGAAUGGAAGGGCUGAUCCCAUACAUCUACAGGGCGAUCAAGAGAAGAAAGGCUCGCAAGUACUACCGGUCCCUCUCGACCGGUUCUUCGCAGUGGUUUGGCGACCCCAACACCCAGAGAUUCCUCCGGCCGGCGCCGAUCAAGCUCGGGAGUUUCCAUGAGGACCAGAAUGGCCACAGGAGGCACCGCUCGCUGGAGGACUUCUCGCCCGAGAGGGUUGGCGGCGGACAUGGCCGCUUGGCCAAGCAGACGAGGUUUGGGAGCAGCCGCAUGUUCUCAUGCAUUACUGGUGCGAAUUAGAUUGCAUGUGUAUGAACGAAUGAUCGAAGAUUUCAUGAACUUUGAAGACAAGUUGUGUUUAUGUACCUUUCGAUGCAAGUCUUCUUAUAAUGAUCUGUUCAUGUCAUAAAGUCUCCUUAGUAGGAGGAGGAGGAAGAAGAAUUCCUUCUGAUGUUGCAUAAAUUAUGCAAUCUUGUUUGUAAGAUAUGAUCGAAUUAUGUUGAGUUAAGAUUAAGUUGGUUGUUGAAA